rnacentral:pre_miRNA from 1 species
UUAGUACUCCCUCCGUUCGGAAUUACUUGUCGCGAAAAUGGAUGUAUCUAGACGUAUUUUAGUUCUAGAUACAUCCAUUUCCGAGACAAGUAAUUCCGAACGGAGGGAGUAGAUU